GCCUCCACGGCCUAGCGGAUAGCGCUGCAGUCUUAUAAAUUGGCAUCGCGGGUUCAACCCCCCUUGAGGUCA